AACACUAGGUGUCGGGAGGAAUUUCGGUGCCGGCGCAAACGCAAUAAGUGUUCCGCCUGGGGAGUACGUUCGCAAGAAUAAAACUCAAAGGAAUUGACGGGGACCCGCACAAGUAGCGGAGCAUGUGGUUUAAUUCGAAGCAACGCGAAGAACCUUACCUAAGCUUGACAUGGGGAUGAAAAGCAAUGUAAAGUUGUAAUGAUACCUUUUAGGUAUACAUCCCACACAGGUGGUGCAUGGCUGUCGUCAG
rnacentral:rRNA from 1 species